CCUACGGGUGGCUGCAGUGAGGAAUAUUGGUCAAUGGUAGAGAUCCUGAACCAGCCAAGCCGCGUGAGGGAGGACGGUACUGUGUAUUGUAAACCUCUUUUGUCAGAGAACAAAGACUGGGACGUGUCCCGGGCUGCGUGUAUCCGAAGAAAAAGCAUCGGCUAACUCCGUGCCAGCAGCCGCGGUAAUACGGAGGAUGCGAGCGUUAUCCGGAUUUAUUGGGUUUAAAGGGUGCGUAGGCCGGAGGUUAAGGGUGGCGGGAAAUGUCGGGGCUCAACCCCGGCACGGCCGCGGAAACUGGCAUGCUUGAGUGCGCGAGACGUAUGCGGAAUUCGUGGUGUAGCGGUGAAAUGCAUAGAUAUCGCGAAGAACUCCGAUUGCGAAGGCAGCGUACGGGAGCGCGACUGACGCUGAGGCUCGAAGGCGCGGGUAUCGAACAGGAUUAGAUACCCUAGUAGUC
rnacentral:rRNA from 1 species